rnacentral:lncRNA from 10 species
GCCUGGCUAAUUUUUUUGUAUUUUUAGUAGAGAUGGGGUUUCACCGCAUUAGCCAGGAUGGUCUCAAUCUCCUGAUGUGAUCCACCCGCCUUGGCCUCCCAAAGUGCUGGGAUUACAGGUGUGAGCCACUGCGCCCAGCCAAGUAUCUUUUUAAAAAAUUAAAAGUGGGCUGGGCACAGUGGCUUUCGCCUAUAAUCCCUGCACUCUGGGAGGCCAAGGCGGGCAAACCUCUUGAGCCCAGAAGUUCGAGACCAGCCUGGGCAACAUGGCAAAACCCCAUCUCCACAAAAAAUGCAAAAAUUAGCUGAGUGUGGUAGUUCGCAUCUGUGGUCCCAGCUACUCGGGAGGCUGAGGCAGGAGGAUCACUUGAGCCUGGGAAGUUUAGGCUGCAGUGAGCCAAGACUGCGCCACUGCACUCCAGCCUGGGCAACAAACAGAGAUGCUGAUUUAAAAUACUCUGUAGGCUGGGUGUGAUGGCUAACAUCUGUAUUUCCCAGCAUUUCAGGAAGCUGAGACAGGAGGAUCUCUUGACACCAGUAGUUCAAGACCAGCCUGGUCAACACAGCUAGACCUUGUCUCUAUUAAAAAUAAAAAAUUAAAAACCUAGCCAGGCAUGGUGGCGAAUGCCUGGAGCCCCAGUUACUCAGGAGACUGAGGCGGGAGGAUCUCUUGAGCCCAGUAUGUUGAGGCUGCAGUGAGCUAUGAUUGAGCCUUUGCACUCCAACCUGGGCAACAGAUCAAGACCCUAUCUUUAAAUAAAUAAAUGAAACAAACUCUAGUAAGUCAAGAGUGCAUGAUGGAAUCUCUUGAUAACUAUUAAAGAAUAGAAGGAGUUGUGCUCACUUCAGCAGCUCAUACACUACAACUGGAACGAUACAGAGAUGAUUACCAUGAUUAUCAUGGCCUCUAUGCAAGGAUGACACACAAAUUCAUCAAGCGUUCCAUAUUACAAAAAAAAAAAAAAAUAGAGGAGUGAAAUGGUAUAAUACAGAGGUUAUGCAAAUACUAAAAGACAGGUGAUGUAGCCACUUUCAUAUAUGGCAAAGCAGACUUAAGGCAGGCAAGAAAUAGAACUACAGAGUAAAAGAGGUAUUUGGUUAUAAUAAAAACUUACUUAGUAUCAAAAAUUCUAAAUUUCUAUGUACCCCAAUUACAUAGGCUAAAUAUACAGAUAACACAAAUAAAUAUAACUAAAAGGAAAAGAAAAAAACCACAGUCAUAGGUGGAGAAUUUAACAUUCUCCUCUCAGUUAUCCAAUAGCAGAGAAAUUUUAAAAAAGAUUCUAGGGAGAUACAAGAUUUAACACAAUUAACAAACUUGACCUCAUUAACUUAUAUAGAAUGCUACAACCCAAAAACUGCAAAAUACACAUUCUUAGGAACUGAGGGUGAUACAAAUUACCAAAUUUUACCAUAAACUAGCUGACAGUAUGGUUUCUGACCACAUUGGAAUAAAGCCAGCAGUAACAGAAGGAUAACUAGAAAAUUUUCAAAUGUAUGAAAAUCAGGCAACAUAUGAGUAACUCAUAAAUUAAAGAAGAAAUUACACAUAGAAAAAGUAUGUAUUUUGAACUUAAUGAAAAUAUGACAUAUCAAAAUGGGUGGAAUACCGUAAAACAUCUGUUUGUGUUCCCCCUAAAAUCAUCUGUUGAAGCCCUUAUUCUCAGUGUGCGCAUAGAUUUUCAUCAAUAAACACAGUCAGGCUUCUGUAUCCUUGGGUUCCCUGACUGCAACCAAGUUUGGCUCAAAAAUACAGUAUUCAUUAGAGCCCACAUACAGGGAGGGCCAACUUUUCAUAUAUGUGGUUCCACAGGGCCAAGGGUGGGACCCGACCAUGUGCGUUCUGGUAUAUGCUGGGGUCUUGGAACUAAUCCCCUGCAUGCAUAUAUACUGAGGGGUGGCUGUAUUUGGAGAUGGGGCCUCUAAGGAUGUAAUUAAGGUUGAAUGAAGUCAUAAGAAUAGGAGGACCCAGUAGCAUUGGUGUCCUUAUAGGAAGAGACCCCAGAGAGCUUGUGCGUGCUCUCUCUCUCUCUCUCUGUCUGUGCAAACACUGAGGAUGGCCAUGUAAGGACAUAGUGAGAUGCAGGAAGAGAGCCCUCACCGGAAAGCCACCAUGCAGGCACCCUGAUCUCAGACUUCCAGCCUCCAGAACUCAGGGAAAAUAAAUUUCUGCUAUUUAAACCACCCAAUAUGUGGUAUUUUGUCAUGGCAGCCUGAGCAGAUCAACACAGCGUCCAUUUCAUGAAGCUAGGAAAACAGCAAAUUAAACUUAAAGAAAGCUGGAAGAAUAAAGAGCGCAGAGCAAUGAAACAGAUGGCAGAUAUCCAAAAUUACUUCCUUGAAAAUAUUAA